rnacentral:RNase_P_RNA from 1 species
GGUGCAAGUCGGGCAGUUGCGUUGCCAAAUGCUUUGGUAGCGAGGAAAGUCCGAACUCCAUAGAACAGGAUGCCGGGUAACACCCGGGAGUUGUUUUGAGCAAUCUAACAAUUACGGAUAGUGCCACAGAAAAUAUACCGCCCGCCUUUGGUGGGUAAGGGUGAAAUGGCAGGGUAAGAGCCUACCGCUUUGGAAGUAAUUUCAGAGGUCUGAAAGGAUUAUUCUCUUUAAUGAGGAUAACAAGGUAAACCCCAUCCGGAGAAAGGUCAAAUAGGAAAGUCUUUCCGGUAAAACGGAACAGAGUUGUUCGCUUUGAAUGGCUUUCGGGUAGACUGAUUAAGAUUUGGUGUAAACCAUAUUCUAGAUAAAUAACUGCCGUCCCUUUUUAGGGAUUACAGAAUUCGGCUUACAGACUUGCAUUCCAA